GAAAGCACAAUUUCUCCCUCAGCAUCCAGCCAAGUCUCCUGCAUAAUAAAAGUUUUUUUUUUGGCGGGUAUGUCCACAUAUUUAUUCUCUGCCAACUUCUUCUCUCAACCAUUUGAUCAUUCUGGAUCAUCAAGGGGCUAACUGGAACCAUUUCCACUCUUAAGGAUUUGGAUUCUUUUCAGUUUGUAAGAGCUCCCAAAUCUCAUCUAUCGGCAGAAGAGGUUUAAAGAAUGAUGGGG
rnacentral:lncRNA from 1 species